UCAAGAAAGCCAUCCAGGACCCCGCCUUCUCCGACGGCAUCCGCCACGUGAUGGACGGGUCGCUGCCCACGUCGCUCAAACACAUCAUCAGCAACGCCGAGUACUACGGCCCCUCGCUGUUCCUGCUGGCGACCGAGGUGGUGACGGUGUUCGUGUUCCAGGAGCCCUCCCUGCUCUCGUCGCUGCAGGACAACGGCCUGACCGACGUCAUGCUGCACGCCCUGCUCAUCAAGGACGUGAG